AUAGUUUGGACAUUUCAGGUUGGACUAUGCUUAAGUGAUGUCAAACAGGAACUGCAGAAGCAAAUUUACAGUCAGUUGAACACUUAUAUGUAUGGUAAUUGGAUAGAAAAACAGUAGCAAGAGUGAUGUUUCUAACUCCUGAUCAUAUAAAAAUGAUACAUCUAGAGAGGCAGAAACACAGAUUUGUAUGACCCUAACUGGAGUGCACAGUCAGACAAAAUGGCUCCUGAUGCUGAUGUCCAGCUUUCCCAGGAACAGAAAAAAAUGGAUUAUUAUACAUACUCCGGUUACAGAUUUGCAGUAGCUGUCAGCAGCCAAGAAGAACCAAUGGCCAUUCUGAAUAAAAGACCCACAUGAUCAGACAAGUUGGCAAGAUGACAAGUCCAUGCAAAGUGUGCUGACAUUCUGCCAAAGAUUGGAGAUAUCUCCGGCAGACUUUAAACUCCUUAGAUUUAAGAUUAAAAGAUAAUUGUGACUUAAGACUACAUGUAUGUAGUUUUCAGUCAAACACCAUUUCUGUUUUUCUUUUUUGUAUUUUUUCAACAAUUCAAGGUCUGGAAAAUGAUAAUAUUGGAUACAUGUUUUUAUCAUGAAAUAAAAAAAAGUAGGUUUUCAUUGUUUACAGGUGUUUGGAGUGAAUAUUUAUAAAGUGACUGUGUCUUUAAGAUAUCGAGUGUUGUCUGCAAGAAUGCAGUAAUUCGUAAUUUUGUUUUUGAAAAGUUUCCAGGAAAUUCAAAAAAUUCCUUUUUUGUAAAGAAACAGAUCUUUUGAUACGUGGGAACAAAUUAAAUAACUUUUACAAAGAAAUUCUUCAUAUAUGUCCAGAGUCACAUGUAUCUGAGAUAUUUGACUUUCAUUUACUUACAACUGUAUUGCAUGUCUUCUCUAAGUUUUAGCAGUCAAAUCAUUACUGCAAAAAUGUUGUAACUUUACUUACUACACUUUUAUACUUCUUUACUUUUUUAUUGGACUGUAAGUUAUUUUUAUUGAUAUCUAUAAAUCUACUACCACAGUUUUACAUUUGACAAAACUAGAAAUGCUUCUUUUUAGCUCAUCUGAUUUUUUGAAAAAAAAUGAUGAGUUAU
rnacentral:lncRNA from 1 species